GUAGAGAGAAAGAGAGGGUAGGGGUAGAGAGAAAGAGAGGGUAGGGGUAGAGAGAAACAGAGGGUAGGGGUAGAGAGAAAGAUAUGGAGAACAAUGCCUUCACAUUGGCCGGGAGAAAGAAAAAGAGAAAUAGAAAGAGGACAAGCCUUGACGUGGGCAACACAUCCACCCUGGCCACUGCUGCGGAGACCGCAGGGCUGGCAUACUGAGACCGCAAGGCUGGCAUGCUGAGACCGCAGGGCUGGCAUACUGAGACUGCAGGGUUGGCAUACUGAGACCGCAGGGUUGGCAUACUGAGACCGCAGGGCUGGCAUACUGAGACCGCAGGGCUGGCAUACUGAGACCGCAGGGCUGGCAUACUGAGACCGCAGGGCUGGCAUACUGAGACCGCAGGGCUGGCAUACUGAGACCGCAGGGCUGGCAUACUGAGCUCCUAAAGAGAACAGUAUGUUUGUCUAAGAGAAAAUGAACUCCUGCAUUCACACAGUCAACAGCUGCUGCAGCAGUUGAGAUCUGCUAAAAGCUAAAAGCAGAUGCUGAAAGGAGAAUGGGUUUCAAAUGUACCGUGUCUAUCCAUGUCUCAGUUCAAUCAGUAUCGGUGGAAUAUUCCAAUUUCUGUACAAUGCUGUAACUCCAUUUUGAGUCAUCCAUGUUUGUGGCUCUUACGCCAUAGAUGUUGACUGGUAGAUGGAUAUGUUUGUGUUUUAUCCUUCUCCUUUGUCUUUUGCGUGAGUUGGCUAAAACAGAAACAAAUCUGGCGCAAAGCUCCAUGUUCACUGUCACCUUUUGCACCAUUAUGGCCUUUUGAUGUGUUUGAAUGACUAACCGUCCUCAGGUCUAGACGCUGUCACCAUUAUGGCCUUUUGAUGUGUUUGAAUGACUAACCGUCCUCAAGUCUAGACGCUGUCACCAUUAUGGCCUUUUGAUGUGUUUGAAUGACUAACUGUCCUCAGGUCUAGACGCUGUCACCAUUAUGGCCUUUUGAUGUGUUUGAAUGACUAACCGUCCUCAGGUCUAGACGCUGUCACCAUUAUGGCCUUUUGAUGUGUUUGAAUGACUAACCGUCCUCAGGUCUAGACGCUGUCACCAUUAUGGCCUUUUGAUGUGUUUGAAUGACUAACCGUCCUCAGGUCUAGACGCUGUCACCAUUAUGGCCUUUUGAUGUGUUUGAAUGACUAACCGUCCUCAGGUCUAGACGCUGUCAGCAGCAGCAAUGGAUAUUUUCCAGGACUCUAUAAUAUGCAGUAGUAGGCUGUUAACAGUACAGUUCCGUAAUGAAUAGCAGAUCCCUUUGGUUCCCUCGGCCUACUCAUUCACAUUUCGUUAUUAAGGGCUUCAGUUAAUAUCGUCUUCAACAACAUUUUAUAUCACAAAACACCUACAUGUUAUUACGAAACAGUGUUAAGUUAACCUCCUUACACACACGCACGUAUGUACAAAUACAUGCUCCCACAAAUGUAGGCAUGCACGUACACACACAAACACACACGCCCCCCUCCGACACACACAGUCAAACUCUUUAAUCAAUAAAAGCUGUAGAUGAAAUCACACUGAAUAGACCUUAGAUGUGUCUUUACAGGGCUAUUUAACAAUGUAAAACAAACAUAUUAUAGGCUAAUAUGUGUUUUUUAAUUUAAUUGUAUGGUGCUUGUGUACAGUUGCUAUUGACAUAACAAAAUAGUCUAUUCUAUGUGUUGCUUUUCAAUGUUUGUAUUGUGUUCCAUCAUUUUAAUAACAACUUUGUAUAUGUUUGGUUAGUAUUCAUCACAUCCACUUCAUCAUUAUCUUGUACUGUACAAUACAUAUCCCAUGCUGUUGGACUAUCUAGCGUUGGGAUUUCUAUAAUGGCCAGUUUGCUAACCAGUUAUCCGAUGCAAUAAUGUUUGAAACCAUAUGUAAGCUGAGGGUGUGAGCUAUGGUACUUAUUUAAUAUGCAUAUGGAACGAUUGUGCUGUCAGGGACUCAAAUAACUCCCAAAACCAAAUAUUUGUUUAAUGUGUGACCAAAGUAUACUUUCAUGAAAAUAAAUUAGCAAUUCUUAUGUCAAAUGGUUUCACAUGAAGAUUUGUUUCAUGUUAACCCAUUUACUAAAGAUAUUUAUUUUGAGUCCACUAUUACUAGGUUUCUAUUCAACCAUUUCGUGAGGAUGAAUUACCUGAUGCAUGAAAAUAGUCACGAACGGACUGAUGCUAACAUAAUAUGACGGUACAAUUUUAUUAAUGUCUACAGACAAUUUGUUUGUUCGACAUGGUGGAAUCUUUUUGUGUUAGUAAAAUUAUGUAUGCGAGAAAUGCCGGUAGAAACGCCUUUAUGCUCAAAUAUUGAUAUAAUAACCAUCAUAUGGACGUUAACUUGGAGUCAUGCGAUGAUAUGUUGUGUGGUCCUCCCACUACGACUCAGGAAACCAUGUAGUUUAUUAGGCUACUGAUUAAAUAACAAUGAACUUCACAGGGUGGUGAAAGAGCAAGCUGAUGAGCUUGAUGCUCCUUUCUAAUCAAUAUCCAGGGUCUUAUUCUGGUGACAUGAACUGAUGCUUGGCUGCCGCUUGAAAAUAAAAAAUAAUAUUGCUCUUAUCCACAAUAAUCUAAUAAUGUAGGUAACCUACCUGCACUGUGUCUGUGAGCUGUUGGCUAACACGCACUUGCCAAUACCAGAGUGGGCAUAUAAAGCAACAGUUAGUCUGACAAAACCAUCAGUAGAGUUGAAAAUGCGAUUGAAACCCAUUUAACUUGUGAUUUUCAUUCUGUACAUGGCAAUUUAACCGCAGAAGGUAAUUGUAUUUACACUACGUCAUCACACACAGCCUUUUAUCAGCAAUAAGUCCAUUUGAUGGAAACACCUCUCAUGUGAGCAUGUUAUUUUAUGCAGAUUUUAGAAUAUUCGCAUCAAAUUGGAUGGAAACCUUGCUAAUGUUGUUAUGCCUAAUUGGUGUGUUUGUAUGGAAAACCGGAAUUGGACUUGGUGAUGUCUGCCCUCGGAAUAGCUGGGAUAGCUGUGGUUCAGUACUAGCUGCCUUGACUGCACAGCUGACUUACAGCCCAAAUAUCACUACAUUCAUUACUGUGAACCAAUAAAAAAACAGAUGCAAAGUUGUCUACCCUGCCUGUUUUUUUCUGAUCUUCUUGAUUCUCUUCGUCUUAAUUCUCUUUGACUUUAUGUCUACCCAGCCCAGCUCUAAAAAC
ensembl:lncRNA